rnacentral:other from 1 species
CAGAGUCUGCUGUGUGCGACCACUAAUGGUAGUACGCCCGAACCGAUAGACUAUACCUGGGGGCGGCCCCUACGUGCCAAUGUCAUGCCUUUUCAGGAAGACAGCGGUGCGGAGGAUGUCCCCAACCUAUUGAGUGCACGGAAUCGUGGCUCAUACACCAUGGACGGCACAGCGGAUUCCUC